CAAGUCGAACGAUGAAACUUAAAUGAUCUCUUCGGAGUGAACUUAAGUGGAUUAGUGGCGGACGGGUGAGUAACGCGUGAGUAACCUGCCUUAGAGAAGGGGAUAGCCUUUGGAAACGAAGAAUAAUACCCUAUGACAUGAUAGCCUCGCAUGAGAUUAUCAUCAAAGAUUUAUCGCUCUAAGAUGGACUUGCGUCUGAUUAGUUAGUUGGUGGGGUAACGGCCCACCAAGACAGCGAUCAGUAGCCGGCUUGAGAGAGUGUACGGCCACAUUGGGACUGAGACACGGCCCAGACUCCUACGGGAGGCAGCAGUGGGGAAUUUUGCACAAUGGGGGAAACCCUGAUGCAGCGACGCCGCGUGAUUUAGAAGGCCUUCGGGUUGUAAAAAUCUUUUCUAUGGGAAGAACAUGACAGUACCAUAGGAAUAAGGACCGGCUAAUUACGUGCCAGCAGCCGCGGUAAUACGUAAGGUCCGAGCGUUGUCCGGAAUCAUUGGGCGUAAAGGGUACGUAGGCGGGUAAGCAAGUUAGAAGUGAAAUCCUAUAGCUCAACUAUAGUAAGCUUUUAAAACUGCUCAUCUUGAGGUAUGGAAGGGAAAGUGGAAUUCCUAGUGUAGCGGUGAAAUGCGCAGAUAUUAGGAGGAAUACCGGUGGCGAAGGCGACUUUCUGGCCAUAACCUGACGCUGAGGUACGAAAGCGUGGGUAGCAAACAGGAUUAGAUACCCUGGUAGUCCACGCCGUAAACGAUGAGUGUUAGGUGUCUGGAGUAAAUCUGGGUGCCGCAGCUAACGCAUUAAACACUCCGCCUGGGGAGUACGCGCGCAAGCGUG
rnacentral:rRNA from 1 species